rnacentral:piRNA from 1 species
ACAGACAUUACUGUGGCAAGUGU